UGAUACGCUUCAGUUCAGAUCGAGAUAUUCGUUUGUGCUGAUGGAUGGCAAGGACAUCCGGUUCUGGGGCAUUUGAAUAACAAUAUCACAGGCGAGAUGUCACAAGUUCGGAGUGCUCGAGAUUGGGAAUUGAUUUGGUCAACCGUUACAGCAGCACAAACAGCAGGGAUUCGGAUUCACAGGAGGAGUCGGGUGAAAUGAUUCAGCAAUCGGAAUCGCAACGCGUGCCCCUUCUCAGUGGGCUGUCCUUGGUCCUCAACGCCGGAUCCUGUUCUUUUUAUUGUGGUGUAAUGUUUGUUGUUCCAGCGCGUUGACAUGUGAGCCAAUACUUUUUAUUCCCGUUUUUUUCGGAAUCUGCCCACCCAUGGCCUCUUUGCCGUCUGAUGAGACCGCCCACCGACAGAGGAAAAUAAUUUGAGGGGAAGUCUAGCAAAAAAGAAGCUAACCCAAGCCACCGCCUUUUGUGCGUUUUCGGGCUGGUGGCAUAUGGUUAGACUCUCCGCAGAAAAACUCAAACGACAAACAAAACACCCUCGUUUACGCCCAAUUUAAUUUUCAAGUAGCUUUUUAUGGCCUUGUGGCCGGGCAUUUUUGAAUUUUAGAUCUGAAUAGCUAAAAGCGAAUGGAAUAACGGAGUUAAUAAUCUUUAGAAUUGGAAAUGAAGGAAAAAAAAAACGGCUAGAUAUGAGAGCAUCAUAAAGAUUAGUAUCUAGGAGACUUAGAAUAAUGUAAUCAAAAUAUAUUUCAGUUGAAAGUAUGGAAUGGCUAUAAGAAGUUUUCGUGGCUAAUCAAUAUAUUUCAGAUAAGUUACUUGCUGAAUACAAAUAUCCAAACUUAUUAGUUGCACCCUUACUCGAUCCCUCCCCUUGUCGGCCAGUGUAAACGAUUAUAAACCCAACGAUCUGCUAAUUGCCUGCGUGUCAUUAAGCCUCCACUUACAAAGGAAUUAGACAAACAAACAAUAAAAUUGAUGGCAAGUGUCGCAUUUUGUCAUCAAGCUGCGACAAAAACAACUGCCAG
rnacentral:sRNA from 1 species